UGCUGACCGACUUUCCAUGGUCUGAUGGUGACAGGACAAGGGGAAACGGCUUUGACCUGAGAAAAGACGAGGCUGGGUCCACGGUCACCAUGCCAGAGACAGGAGAGGAGCUGUCCCUUGUCCAGGGCUGCAGUCCUGGAGUCACACUGCAGCAGCAUCCCUGCUCAUCCAGCCUGACCCCUUUCCAGCUUCUCCAUGAAAGUCAGGCCAACGCUGAUGGGAGAGCCCCCCAUGCCUAGACAGGAGAGCCCAGAGGAAGAAAGGUGGAGCUCCUGGCAGGACACCGGCCUCUCUCCCGCUCGCGGAUUCUCUCGGUUUUGCGGCAGAGAAGCACGCGGUUCCCUCUGCAGCCUAUAGCGCAAGGCUUCGGCUUUGGACACUCUCGCUUUGUUGGAUUUUAUUGGAUUUAGUAAAUUAAAGUUCCUCCUCAG
rnacentral:lncRNA from 1 species